rnacentral:rRNA from 1 species
AUGGUGCUUGCACCUGAUUGACGAUGGAUCACCAGUGAGUGGCGGACGGGUGAGUAACACGUAGGUAACCUGCCUCGGAGCGGGGGAUAACAUUUGGAAACAGAUGCUAAUACCGCAUAACAACAAAAGCCACAUGGCUUUUGUUUGAAAGAUGGCUUUGGCUAUCACUCUGGGAUGGACCUGCGGUGCAUUAGCUAGUUGGUAAGGUAACGGCUUACCAAGGCGAUGAUGCAUAGCCGAGUUGAGAGACUGAUCGGCCACAAUGGAACUGAGACACGGUCCAUACUCCUACGGGAGGCAGCAGUAGGGAAUCUUCCACAAUGGGCGCAAGCCUGAUGGAGCAACACCGCGUGAGUGAAGAAGGGUUUUGGCUCGUAAAGCUCUGUUGUUGGAGAAGAACGUGCGUGAGAGUAACUGUUCACGCAGUGACGGUAUCCAACCAGAAAGUCACGGCUAACUACGUGCCAGCAGCCGCGGUAAUACGUAGGUGGCAAGCGUUAUCCGGAUUUAUUGGGCGUAAAGCGAGCGCAGGCGGUUGCUUAGGUCUGAUGUGAAAGCCUUCGGCUUAACCGAAGAAGUGCGUCGGAAACCGGGCGACUUGAGUGCAGAAGAGGACAGUGGAACUCCAUGUGUAGCGGUGGAAUGCGUAGAUAUAUGGAAGAACACCAGUGGCGAAGGCGGCUGUCUGGUCUGCAACUGACGCUGAGGUUCGAAAGCAUGGGUAGCGAACAGGAUUAGAUACCCUGGUAGUCCAUGCCGUAAACGAUGAGUGCUAGGUGUUGGAGGGUUUCCGCCCUUCA